UGAGGAAUAUUGGUCAAUGGGCGAGAGCCUGAACCAGCCAAGUAGCGUGCAGGAUGACGGCCCUAUGGGUUGUAAACUGCUUUUAUAAGGGAAUAAAGUGAGAGUCGUGACUCUUUUUGCAUGUACCUUAUGAAUAAGGACCGGCUAAUUCCGUGCCAGCAGCCGCGGUAAUACGGAAGGUCCGGGCGUUAUCCGGAUUUAUUGGGUUUAAAGGGAGCGUAGGCCGGAGAUUAAGCGUGUUGUGAAAUGUAGACGCUCAACGUCUGCACUGCAGCGCGAACUGGUUUCCUUGAGUACGCACAAAGUGGGCGGAAUUCGUGGUGUAGCGGUGAAAUGCUUAGAUAUCACGAAGAACUCCGAUUGCGAAGGCAGCUCACUGGAGCGCAACUGACGCUGAAGCUCGAAAGUGCGGGUAUCGAACAGGAUUAGAUACCCUGGUAGUCCGCACGGUAAACGAUGGAUGCCCGCUGUUGGUCUGAACAGGUCAGCGGCCAAGCGAAAGCAUUAAGCAUCCCACCUGGGGAGUACGCCGGCAACGGUGAAACUCAAAGGAAUUGACGGGGGCCCGCACAAGCGGAGGAACAUGUGGUUUAAUUCGAUGAUACGCGAGGAACCUUACCCGGGCUUGAAUUGCAGAGGAAGGAUUUGGAGACAAUGACGCCCUUCGGGGUCUCUGUGAAGGUGCUGCAUGGUUGUCGUCAGCUCGUGCCGUGAGGUGUCGGCUUAAGUGCCAUAACGAGCGCAACCCCUCUCCUUAGUUGCCAUCAGGUCAAGCUGGGCACUCUGGGGACACUGCCACCGUAAGGUGUGAGGAAGGUGGGGAUGACGUCAAAUCAGCACGGCCCUUACGUCCGGGGCUACACACGUGUUACAAUGGCAGGUACAGAGAGACGGUGCUUUGCAAAGGGCAUCAAAUCCUUAAAGCCUGUCUCAGUUCGGACUGGGGUCUGCAACCCGACCCCACGAAGCUGGAUUCGCUAGUAAUCGCGCAUCAGCCAUGGCGCGGUGAAUACGUUCCC
rnacentral:rRNA from 1 species